GGAGUUAGCCGGUGCUUCUUCUGCGAGUAACGUCACAGAUGUAAGGUAUUAACUUACACCCUUUCCUCCUCGCUGAAAGUGCUUUACAACCCGAAGGCCUUCUUCACACACGCGGCAUGGCUGCAUCAGGGUUUCCCCCAUUGUGCAAUAUUCCCCACUGCUGCCUCCCGUAGGAGUCUGGGCCGUGUCUCAGUCCCAGUGUGGCUGAUCAUCCUCUCAGACCAGCUAGGGAUCGUCGCCUAGGUGAGCCUUUACCUCACCUACUAGCUAAUCCCACCUGGGCUUAUCCAUCAGCGCAAGGCCCGAAGGUCCCCUGCUUUCCCCCGUAGGGCGUAUGCGGUAUUAGCAGUCGUUUCCAACUGUUAUCCCCACAAAUGGGCAAAUUCCCAGGCAUUACUCACCCGUCCGCCGCUCGUCAUCUUCAAAAGCAAGCUUUUGAAAUGUUACCGCUCGACUUGCAUGUGUUAGGCCUGCCGCCAGCGUUCAUCUGAACCAAGAUACAAUUACUGA
rnacentral:rRNA from 1 species